rnacentral:rRNA from 1 species
GAUGAACGCUGGCUACAGGCUUAACACAUGCAAGUCGAGGGGAAACGACGGGGAAGCUUGCUUCCCCGGGCGUCGACCGGCGCACGGGUGAGUAACGCGUAUCCAACCUGCCUCUGACUGAGGGAUAACCCGUCGAAAGUCGGCCUAAUACCUCAUGGCAUCGUCUGCGGGCAUCCAACGACGAUUAAAGAUUUCAUCGGUCAGGGAUGGGGAUGCGUCUGAUUAGCUUGUUGGCGGGGUAACGGCCCACCAAGGCUACGAUCAGUAGGGGUUCUGAGAGGAAGGUCCCCCACAUUGGAACUGAGACACGGUCCAAACUCCUACGGGAGGCAGCAGUGAGGAAUAUUGGUCAAUGGGCGGGAGCCUGAACCAGCCAAGUAGCGUGCAGGAUGACGGCCCUAUGGGUUGUAAACUGCUUUUAUGCGGGGAUAAAGUGAGGGACGUGCCCUUCAUUGCAGGUACCGCAUGAAUAAGAACCGGCUAAUUCCGUG